UACAGAGGUCUCAAGCGUUGUUCGGAUUCAUUGGGCGUAAAGGGUGCGUAGGUGGCGCGCUAAGUCAGGUGUGAAAUUUCGGAGCUUAACUCCGAAACUGCAUUUGAUACUGGCGUGCUUGAGGACUGGAGAGGAGACUGGAAUUCAUGGUGUAGCAGUGAAAUGCGUAGAGAUCAUGAGGAAGACCAGUGGCGAAGGCGGGUCUCUGGACAACACCUGACGCUGAGGCACGAAAGCCAGGGGAGCAAACGGG
rnacentral:rRNA from 1 species